rnacentral:rRNA from 1 species
CCUACGGGUGGCAGCAGUGGGGAAUAUUGCGCAAUGGGCGAAAGCCUGACGCAGCGACGCCGCGUGAGGGAUGAAGGUCUUCGGAUCGUAAACCUCUGUCAGCAGGGAAGAACGGUCACUGUGCUAAUCAGCAGUGCAUUGACGGUACCUGCAAAGGCAGCACCGGCUAACUCCGUGCCAGCAGCCGCGGUAAUACGGAGGGUGCGGGCGUUAAUCGGAAUUACUUGGCGUAAAGCGCUCGUAGGCGGUAUGUGAAGUCAAGGGUGAAAUCCCCGCGCUCAACGUGGGAACUGCCUUUGAAACUGGCAAGCUGGAGUGUGUGAGAGGCUAGUGGAAUUCCAGGUGUAGGAGUGGAAUCCGUAGAUAUCUGGAGGAACAUCAGUGGCGAAGGCGACUAUCUGGAACAUAACUGACGCUGAGGAGCGAAAGCGUGGGUAGCAAACAGGAUUAGAUACCCUUGUAGUC